rnacentral:rRNA from 1 species
UAACCUACCUCAUAGUGGGGGAUAACAGUCGGAAACGACUGCUAAUACCGCAUAGGACAUGGGAUCACAUGAUUCCGUGAGGAAAGGUGGCGCAAGCUAUCGCUAAGAGAUGGACCCGCGGUGCAUUAGCUAGUUGGUAGGGCAACGGCCUACCAAGGCAAUGAUGCAUAGCCGACCUGAGAGGGUGAUCGGCCACAUUGGGACUGAGACACGGCCCAA